rfam:Myotis brandtii contig278082, whole genome shotgun sequence.
GCCUGUAUGGCUUAGUGGUUGAGCGCCAAUCUAUGAACCAGGAGGUCAGGGUUCAAUUCCCAGUCAGGGCA